CCUACACAUGCAAGUCGAGCGGUAGCACAGAGAGCUUGCUCUCGGGUGACGAGCGGCGGACGGGUGAGUAAUGUCUGGGAAACUGCCUGAUGGAGGGGGAUAACUACUGGAAACGGUAGCUAAUACCGCAUAAUGUCGCAAGACCAAAGAGGGGGACCUUCGGGCCUCUUGCCAUCAGAUGUGCCCAGAUGGGAUUAGCUAGUAGGUGGGGUAACGGCUCACCUAGGCGACGAUCCCUAGCUGGUCUGAGAGGAUGACCAGCCACACUGGAACUGAGACACGGUCCAGACUCCUACGGGAGGCAGCAGUGGGGAAUAUUGCACAAUGGGCGCAAGCCUGAUGCAGCCAUGCCGCGUGUAUGAAGAAGGCCUUCGGGUUGUAAAGUACUUUCAGCGGGGAGGAAGGUGUUGAGGUUAAUAACCUCAGCAAUUGACGUUACCCGCAGAAGAAGCACCGGCUAACUCCGUGCCAGCAGCCGCGGUAAUACGGAGGGUGCAAGCGUUAAUCGGAAUUACUGGGCGUAAAGCGCACGCAGGCGGUCUGUCAAGUCGGAUGUGAAAUCCCCGGGCUCAACCUGGGAACUGCAUUCGAAACUGGCAGGCUAGAGUCUUGUAGAGGGGGGUAGAAUUCCAGGUGUAGCGGUGAAAUGCGUAGAGAUCUGGAGGAAUACCGGUGGCGAAGGCGGCCCCCUGGACAAAGACUGACGCUCAGGUGCGAAAGCGUGGGGAGCAAACAGGAUUAGAUACCCUGGUAGUCCACGCCGUAAACGAUGUCGACUUGGAGGUUGUUCCCUUGAGGCGUGGCUUCCGGAGCUAACGCGUUAAGUCGACCGCCUGGGGAGUACGGCCGCAAGGUUAAAACUCAAAUGAAUUGACGGGGGCCCGCACAAGCGGUGGAGCAUGUGGUUUAAUUCGAUGCAACGCGAAGAACCUUACCUACUCUUGACAUCCAGAGAACUUUCCAGAGAUGGAUUGGUGCCUUCGGGAACUCUGAGACAGGUGCUGCAUGGCUGUCGUCAGCUCGUGUUGUGAAAUGUUGGGUUAAGUCCCGCAACGAGCGCAACCCUUAUCCUUUGUUGCCAGCGGUCCGGCCGGGAACUCAAAGGAGACUGCCAGUGAUAAACUGGAGGAAGGUGGGGAUGACGUCAAGUCAUCAUGGCCCUUACGAGUAGGGCUACACACGUGCUACAAUGGCGCAUACAAAGAGAAGCGACCUCGCGAGAGCAAGCGGACCUCAUAAAGUGCGUCGUAGUCCGGAUUGGAGUCUGCAACUCGACUCCAUGAAGUCGGAAUCGCUAGUAAUCGUAGAUCAGAAUGCUACGGUGAAUACGUUCCCGGGCCUUGUACACACCGCCCGUCACACCAUGGGAGUGGGUUGCAAAAGAAGUAGGUAGCUUAACCUUCGGGAGGGCGCUACCACCUUGGA
rnacentral:rRNA from 1 species